AGAGUUUGAUCCUGGCUCAGGAUGAACGCUAGCGGCAGGCCUGACACAUGCAAGUCGAACGGUAAUCUCGCAGACCUUCGGGUCAGCGGGAACGAGUGGCGAAUGGGUGAGUAACGCAUAUAUAAUUUUCCUGUCACAAGGGGAUAGCCCGAAGAAAUUUGGAUUAACCCCCUAUAAUACAUCGAUCCGGCCUCGGGUUGAUGUUAAAACUUUGGUGGUGACAGAUAAGUAUGCGUCCUAUUAGUUAGUUGGUAAGGUAAGGGCUUACCAAGGCAUCGAUAGGUAGGGGUCCUGAGAGGGAGAUCCCCCACACUGGUACUGAGACACGGACCAGACUCCUACGGGAGGCAGCAGUGAGGAAUAUUGGACAAUGGGCGAGAGCCUGAUCCAGCCAUGCCGCGUGAACGAUGAAGGUUUUCGGAUCGUAAAGUUCUGUUGUUAGGGAAGAACACGUACCGUUCGAAUAGGGCGGUACCUUGACGGUACCUAACGAGGAAGCCCCGGCUAACUACGUGCCAGCAGCCGCGGUAAUACGUAGGGGGCAAGCGUUGUCCGGAAUUAUUGGGCGUAAAGCGCGCGCAGGCGGUUUUUUAAGUCUGAUGUGAAAUCUUGUGGCUCAACCACAAGCGGUCAUUGGAAACUGGAGAGCUUGAGUGCAGAAGAGGAGAGUGGAAUUCCACGUGUAGCGGUGAAAUGCGUAGAUAUGUGGAGGAACACCAGUGGCGAAGGCGACUCUCUGGUCUGUAACUGACGCUGAGGCGCGAAAGCGUGGGGAGCGAACAGGAUUAGAUACCCUGGUAGUCCACGCUGUAAACGAUGAGUGCUAGGUGUUAGGGGGUUUCCGCCCCUUAGUGCUGCAGUUAACGCAUUAAGCACUCCGCCUGGGGAGUACGGCCGCAAGGCUGAAACUCAAAAGAAUUGACGGGGACCCGCACAAGCGGUGGAGCAUGUGGUUUAAUUCGAAGCAACGCGAAGAACCUUACCAGGUCUUGACAUCCGCUGAUACCCCUAGAGAUAGGGCAUCCCCUUCGGGGGCAGCGUGACAGGUGGUGCAUGGUUGUCGUCAGCUCGUGUCGUGAGAUGUUGGGUUAAGUCCCGCAACGAGCGCAACCCUUAAUCUUAGUUGCCAGCAUUUAGUUGGGCACUCUAAGAUGACUGCCGGUGACAAACCGGAGGAAGGUGGGGAUGACGUCAAAUCAUCAUGCCCCUUAUGACCUGGGCUACACACGUGCUACAAUGGAUGGUACAAAGGGCAGCGAAGCCGCGAGGUGAAGCAAAUCCCAUAAAACCAUUCUCAGUUCGGAUUGUAGGCUGCAACUCGCCUACAUGAAGCCGGAAUCGCUAGUAAUCGCGGAUCAGCAUGCCGCGGUGAAUACGUUCCCGGGUCUUAUACACACCGCCCGUCACACCACGAGAGUUAGCAACACCCGAAGUCGGUGAGGUAACCAUGUAUAUGGAGCCAGCCGCCGAAGGUGGGGCCAAUGAUUGGGGUGAAGUCGUAACAAGGUAACCA
rnacentral:rRNA from 1 species